rnacentral:lncRNA from 1 species
CUCGACCCAGAUCGCUCCCGGCCCGCCGCUCACCUUGAAGUUGACCGGGUCCACCCGAAGCUUGUGCGCGUGCAGGUCGCUCAGGGCGGACAGCGCGUUGGGCAUGUCGUCCACGUGCGCCACGGCGUUGGUCAGCGCGUCGGCCACCUUCUUGCCGUGGCCCUUAACCUGGGCAGAGCCGUGGCUCAGGUCGAAGUGCGGGAAGUAGACCUUGGUGCUGGGGUACACCGUGAAGAGCCUGCAGGACCAGGUCAGUGACCGGGGAGGAGGGCGGCUGCGUGGGGCUUCACUAGCGCCCACACCGCCCAGAGCCCGGGGAUCCGCACCCGAAGGACCUUGGAUGGCGUUGGCGGCCCACGCGCCCAAAACCCUCAUCUCCACCUCCCUGAGCUCC